GUCCAGGGAUGGGAAUCGAACCCACAGUGUUCUGCUUACCGAGCAGAUGCCAUGUCCACUAGGCUACCCUGGA
rnacentral:tRNA from 1 species